rnacentral:rRNA from 1 species
UACAGAGGUCUCAAGCGUUGUCCGGAAUUAUUGGGCGUAAAGAGCUCGUAGGCGGUCUGUCGCGUCUGCUGUGAAAUCUCAGGGCUUAACCCUGAGCUUGCAGUGGGUACGGGCAGACUAGAGUGCGGUAGGGGAGACUGGAAUUCCUGGUGUAGCGGUGAAAUGCGCAGAUAUCAAGAGGAACACCUGCGGCGAAGGCGGGUUGCUGGGCCGACACUGACGCUGAAGUGCGAAAGCUAGGGGAGCGAACGGG